CCCUUGUCCCCCUCCCUGUCCCGUCCCCCCCAGCGUCCCCGGGGGGGGGUGACAGCGGUGGCGGUCACAAUAAACUCGCGUGGCCCCCCCACGGCGUGAGCGUUGUGUCCUUGUCACUGUCCCCAGCUUGGGGGGGGGGACGGGGACACCCGGGUGACAACGCGGCCGCAGCUUGGGGACAAAGGGCCACCCCCCCGCGGUGCCACCCGCGCCCCCCCCGGGGGCUUUAUUCAGCGUCACCUCACAGAGACACCCCCCCCCCCAAAAUGGGGCAAAAACCGCGGGAUUUGGGGCCGGGUGAUGUCACCACGGGGUGGGGGGGCGUCAGGGUGACGGUGACACCGCGGCGGUGGCACGGGGACAGUCGGGCACGGUGCCAGGUGCCACCCCCCCCCCCUCGGUGACAACGCCACCGCCUCCCGGUGUCACGACGUCCCCGUGUCCCCACGUCCCGCUGCCGACGUCCCCGUGUCCCCCGGCCCCCCCGGGGGCGGCAGGCGGUGACGGUGCCUACGGUGAUGAUGUCCCGGUGUCACGACGUCCCGGUGUCCCAAUGCCACUGUCCUGGUGUCACGACGUCCCGGUGUCACGAUGUCCCAGGGUCCCAGUGCCAUUGUCCCGAUAUCCCAGUGUCACCAUAUCCCGGGACCGUGACAUCCCAGUGCCACUGUCCCGGUGUCACGACGUCCCGGUGUCACGAUGUCCCGGUGUCCCAGUGCCACUGUCCCGGUGUCACGAUAUCCUGGUGUCACGACAUCCCAGUGCCAUUGUCCCGGUGUCACGAUGUCCCGGUGCCACAACGUCCCGGUGCCAUCGUCCCGGUGCCACGACCUCCCGGUGCCACAACGUCCCCCUGUCCCCACGUCGCGGUGUCACGACAUCCAAGUGCCAUUGUCCCGGUGUCACGAUAUCCCGGUGUCACGACAUCCCGGUGCCAUUGUCCCAGUGUCACGACGUCCCGGUGUCACGAUGUCCCGGUGUCACGACGUCCCGGUGUCACGAUGUCCCAGUGCCAUUGUCCCAGUGUCACGAUGUCCCGGUGCCACGACGUCCCCCUGUCCCCACGUCCUGGUGUCACGACAUCCAAGUGCCAUUGUCCCAGUGUCAUGACGU
rnacentral:lncRNA from 1 species